CCGGCCUGCAGCGAGUUCCUGUAUGAGAUGAGGGGCAGCCAGCAGUCGUCUCUCUGAAGGGCCAUUUGAAACGUCAUGAAUCGCUCCAGGAAGUCCUCCAGAAGUCUGUUGAAUUUGUCUACCAGUUCAUCUAGAAGCUGUGAGCGGGCGAUGUCCACGCGGUUGAAGAUGGUGAAUUCCUCGUUGCACAGAUAGUGCUUUCCAACCAAACUGAUUCCACUGCAGCCCUGAUCCUCCUGUGCCCGAGACACGAGGCCUUCCGGGGAGCUAAUUGGCUCACCAAUUAUCAGCUCCACCAAUCCCUGAUGAGGCCUCCCUUUUUAAACCCAAGACUUCCUGGGACAAGGCACCGCUGAUUCUUUGUUCAGACAACUUGCCACUUUGCUGGGUGUUUGUUGACUGCUGUACACAGUGUUGUCUCUUUGGGAGCUUUUGCAAAUCUUUGUUACCUUUAACAGUCCAUGUGGGGGUGUUGUACGUAAGCUUAAAAUAGCCUACUAGAGUUUUGUUGUCUUUUAUUUAACCUUAGGUUUUUGGUCCAGUUUUAUUUGGUUAAGAUCUUUGGUUUACAACUCUGGUUGUUUUGUGGAUUUUGUUUUAUUUUGUAUUUUUGGUUAUAAAACCCUGACUUUUGAUUGUAGUUGUUUUUUGUUUUUUUUUACCUUUUUAUUUUGUUAAACCCAAACAAUAAACCCCAAACUGUUAAACCUUUAACAUCUAGGCUUCCUUAAUGUUACUUCUCCUUCCCCCUGGCUGAGCUGGGUCGUAAAAUUUACCAAUAAAAUCCUGAAAGGUUUGGUGAACACUUGUAUUACGUGUGUGAUCAGUGAGGGCGAAUCAAAGUCCAGACCAAAAUAAAAAUCAGAAUAAGUGCAACACUGAUAGAAAAGACUGCCAGACAUUCAGCCACAAAUGCAGGAGAAAGUGGUUUUAAAAUGAUAAAUGGGGGGGAAAAAAAG